ACAAGGACCUACGACUGUACAGUGCCGGGAACUAUAUUCAAUAUCGUCUCAUAACCUGCAAUGGAAAAUCAUCUGAAGAAGAAAAAAUAUAUUUUAUAUAUUUAUGUAUAUAUAUGUGCAUGUGUGUAUAACUGAAUCACUUUGCAACACACCUGAAACCAACACAAUAUUGGAAACAACUAGACUUCAAUUAAAAAAAUAAUAAAAGAAAAUAAAAUGGGACAGUCCUGGGCUUUCCAAAGAGGGGCUGGCUCUGCAACUAUCAGGACGGACAAGUUACUAUAACGCAGCCUCCCCCCUCUACCUCCCGACCUCCACGACCACCUGUCCACAGCAUCCGAACUCUGGCCACAGACAGAGAUAUGAUGAUUUAAAAGCCAUUGACUCUUAAAACAGUCCUUCAAAUUUCCACGCGUUGACAUGCAUCUCAGCUGGUUUGCCAUCUUCAUAGAUGACUGUGUUAGGAGAUAUUUCCUUGUUCCUCCCCUCGGGGGUGAGUCACUUCUCUAUCCUUGAAUGGAAACAUUCCCGACUACAAGCUUUUUCGUCUCCGAUUGUGGACUGAACAAAGUUUUCAAGAGGGGCAUCUGUUCUGUGUUCAGCACUUGGUGCCGUGAAACAGGUGUGUGAUGUAAGUCAGUUAAAGGAUAUAUGAUGGGCUAGAUAGACAGCUGGUGGAUGAACAGACGUUUAUAUACAAACAGACAGGUACUUGGAUGAUAGAGACAAUAGGUCCAUACCAAGAGCAGCAGAGUCAAGAUCAACUGUCAGUACUUGAGGUUCGUGUCACUGCGGAGAUCUCCACUCUCAGAUACGCCUCUAGAGUCAUUUUGGCUCUAUUUUUAAAGUCUAAGAUGUAUUUCUUUGAAAAACAGUUCAUACUGUGAUUCACGCUUGAGUCAUUCAGGAGUCAGCACAGCCUCCUGUGCUAAAGACGUUCCGAAGCCAGAACACCCGCCCCUGCUCCACCCACCCCCCACUCCAUGCUGUCAAGGAUGAAUCAGUCCCAGGGUACAUUUUUUUCAAAUCUUUGGAAAAAGGUGCGUGGAUGCAUAAUGCUGUAAUAUCCCAAUGCUUUUUUAGCACAAGCUUGCAAAUCUGUUUUUACUGUGAUCUGAUAUUUGACUUCUUGAAAGAAAUGUAUAAAUAACAAAUUGACUAGGCAUGGAUAUUUAUCUUUUGUCUUGACAUAUGCAAAGCAAUAUUUCUUAAAGUUAAUAAAAGGCUAGACUGAAAGUUGAACUACAAAGAUGUGACAUUGGAGAAAAGAUGCCCAAAUACUGGGUGACCAUAACAAAAUAAGCAGUGUUUUCUGAAGGCUAGGCGGGCUUGCCUGAGAAACCCCCUGGCACUGGCCGUGACUUGCUGCUGGGGGUCUGGAGGUUUACCUCCGUGUAGUGGUUGCUGGGGGUCUCACCACAGGGCUCGCUGUGUAGUUGAAUGUUCUCGUGUUGCCAGUCAGGCCCUUCUGAAGCAAGGAUGUCUCUGCACAUGGAGCUCUACUGCACAUCAGCGGCUCUCAGGUGAGCACCGGGUCCUUCCGUUUUACUUGCAAGAAACUCUUCCAUAUGACCCCGCAAUCCCACUCUUGGGCAUAUAUCCAGACAAAACUCUCCUUAAAAGAGACACAUGCACCCGCAUGUUCAUUGCAGCACUAUUCACAAUAGCCAGGACAUGGAAACGACCCAAAUGUCCAUCGACAGAGGAUUGGAUUCGGAAGAUGUGGUAUAUAUACACAAUGGAAUACUACUCAGCCAUAAAGAAGAAUGACAUAAUGCCAUUUGCAGCAACGUGGAUGGAACUAGAGACUCUCAUACUGAGUGAAAUGAGUCAGAAAGAGAAAGACAAAUACCAUAUGAUAUCCCUUAUAACUGGAAUCUAAUAUCCAGCACAAAUGAACAUCUCCUCAGAAAAGAAAAUCAUGGACUUGGAGAAAAGACUUGUGGNAAGGGCUUUCACGCGUGGGCAUGCGAGAAAGAAAGGGGGCUGGCCUGCCAGGACUCCCAGCGUGACCUCCACGGCCCUCCCCGUCCCCCUCGUUGGCAGCGAUUGGAGGUGAGGCUGAGACCCAGGGAGGCCCAGAGGGUGACCCAGGGGAAGAGACAGCAGCGGGCUGGGAGCCCGCCCAGAGAUGAGGGUGCUCUGGCGAAAGUCUUUCCUUGUAUCCCUAUGAAGACUUGAGUCAUCAGAGAUGCUUCACAUCUCUUACCCUUAGUUGUUUGCAUGUAAAUGUCUGGUGGCCUUGAUGCCCAGAUUUCAAAGCCCAGGGAGCUUAGGUGGGCAAAGCAGAAUAUCACCCGGGCCUCCCACGUGGAGGACUCACCGUGACUGCCAGGGGCCACCACCUGCACGGCCACCGCGCAGCCACCGCAUCUUCACCCUGAACAGGGGCUCCCUUCUCUCUGUCCUCUCUCCUCUGACAGCCAGGAGGGGCGGGGCUCAUUUAAAUAUCUCGGUAAAGAUGCAUAUCAAAUGGUUCUGCCAGCAAACACACUCUCCUGGGCUUUAUGUGAUUUUUCCUUAUCCAGAAACCCUCCUUUAUUUUUAUUUUUUUAAAUUUUUUUGUCUUUUGUCCUUUUUUAGGGCCGCACCUGUAGCACAUGGAGGUUCCCAGGCUAGGGGUCUAAUCCGAGCUGUAGCCGCCGCCGGCCUACGCCACAGCCACAGCCACAGCAAUGCGGAAUCCGAGCUGCAUCUGUGACAUACACCACAGCUCACGGCAAUGCUGGAUCCUUAACCCACUGAGCAAGGCCAGGGAUCGAACCUGCAACCUCAUGGUUCCUAGUCAGAUUCAUUUCUGCUGCACCACUACGGGAACUCCCAGAAACCCUCCUUUAAUACAGAGAUUAGAUCAUGGGCAGAAGUAUCUGCAAAAUGUUUGUGAAUAUUUUAAGAUCACACACCAUUGUUGGAAAAAACUAAUUGCCAGUACAAUGGGCCUUCUUAUAAGUUCUGCUGCUUUUACUUCCCUGCAAAGUUUGACUUACUGGUUUCAUGGCAAUAGAUGCUUGCUUCUGUAUUAUUGCAUACAGUUCUACUUUCCCUAAUAAAUGGAUGUUUGGGACGGAAUGGAAGAAACAGGCCCCUAGGCUUAUGUCUCUUAGGCUUGUUCUAUUGUUGCGGAAAGCCCAGCGGCUCUGUCUGGAUUAUUGCUUCCUCCAUCAAGACGGUCAGGAGCUGCCGGCUGGAGUGACCUCCUGCCUCAGGCUUCUCCACCAUGAGCAGCGAGUUGGGACCUAAGGAACCCCCAUCAACAGCCCGUUGAGUUGGGUCCCAGGCCUGGCUGGUGGAGGUGGCAGUCACCUGGAGAACAGAACAGGCGUGUCCAUCCAAGGUCCAGCAUGACGAAGAAGUCGAUGAAAACAUCAAGGAAUGUGAUCCAGAGCUUUGUGUUUUGAACAUUUGGAACUUCCCAUCCUGGAGACUCCAGAUUUAUGUUUGCAUCCUAAGAAGCAUUCUUAAUAAAUUACAAGGCAGGGAUAAAGAUCCCGGACUCAGGUUUUAAGAUAAAGUCCCAUAAAAUGCGAAACACUGUUUUCUGAGUUAUCUGAAAUGAGGCUAUGGAGCAUAUGUCGGUGAAUUGGAAAGAAGGGGAAUCCAUUCUAAAAUACAGAAGUGACGGGGCUCCCUGGAAGAAGCCAGAGGCUCCCUUCAAGGCACUGGGGAAGGUGUGAGUGCUGUGACCCCCCCCCCACCCCGCAAAGAGAGUGUGAGGACAAGUUCGGCUCCAAAUAGGAAGCCUGAUGGGGGGGGGGAGAAGGCUUGAUGGAGGGGCUGAGGGAGAAGGAGACUCAGGGAGCGGGCCCCGCCUCCUGGGCCUCUCCCAAAGCCCCUUACAACUGGGAAGCUAAGGGAGAGCUCCGUUCUCAGGGAGACAGCGGUAAAUAAAAGCUUUCAGAAGCCCUCCGCCCUCCCCCUGGGGAAGUUCAUCCACGAUUUGACAGUUUGCUAUUUUAAUUGAGAACAGAAAGCCAGUGCACGGUCCAAGGUCUCAGGGAAAAGAAGCAGUUGGUCUAAAACCAUCUCCGUUUGGCCCUUAACCUGGACCUUGGAGCGUGGUGGCCACGGGUAGCAGGGUCUUAGCAGUUGUUGGUGGCACAGAAGAGGGAUGCCCUCCCCAGGGACCCCUCCCUCGGAGACAGAUUUGCUGUCAUUGUUUGAUCUUCAAAAGAAACCUCAAGAAAGCUUUUGAUGAGGAGGAAAAUGCAGUAUCACAUUGAUCGCGGGGCCCUGGUUUCUGUCUUCCUGGUCCUAUAGCCCAGGGGUUCCACGGACUGCAGGGCUGAGGGGGCGUUUUGAAGACAGUCCACGGGGCAUGUAGAGCCUGACGCUGUCUGUGUGUUUAGAGUUACUGGCCAGGCAGAGUGAACACACUGACUUACCAAACCUACUUGGACCCUUGAAAGCAUCCUUCAAAUUUCAGGGUCACCGUACUAAGAGGCUCUCUUCUCAGCUAUUCUGAUUCCUGGACUAGAUAAUCAGAAGGACUUCAUUCAUCCAUAAUCACCAUGUGCCGGUUUUCAAUGGGGGAUGAAGGACUUCCUGCCUGCAUUUCACUCUGGAUUUUCUGGUCAGCCAUCACCUUAACACGGGGCUAAACACACAGCAAAGCACCCGAGGGCUUCAGGUGAUUAACUGCCCAGAGACCUAAGCUUCAUUGUGGAAAGCAAAUUAAAACGCCCGCGGUAACAUGUGUGGCAGAUUCAGAGCAGUGGGGUCCACGUGGGUACCAAAGAUGCUGGCUCUUCUGUGCAGGAGCAGAGGAAGGAGGGUAGCACACAUCUAUGACCUGGAUGAACAGCUCCCCACCUCCCAGGCCGUGGGACUUUGCUGGAUGCUGCAGUAUCGGUGCAAAGGGAGCAGUAGGGUGAACUUGGACAAAUUACUCACGCAAACUGCAAUUAGAAGAGGCCAAAAUCAUUCCCCAAUUCUGUCGAGUCAAAGAUGCUCUUUCCCAGUUUCCUAAAUAUAAUUUUAAAACAUCGACUUUCCUUAGUGAUGUCUCAGCCAGCUGGGAAGACAAAACAUUAGGUCCCUAUUUACAUUCAGUAGCACGGCAGCCUGGUAAAGCAUGACUGUGUGCAAACUGUUAUAUAUUUUAAGGGUCUUCCUAAUUUAUGUUUCCAAAUUUCCUUCCUACACAUUUGCAGUAGAUAAUGGAAGUUUCCUAGGAUGUUUAUAAAGGAACAGCUAUGACCUGCUAGCUAAAUGGUAUGCAACAUUCUAUAAAUUACGGUCUGAAAUUUGCUCUAAUGUUCAAAUAUUUCUGGGACGGAUUUUUCUCCAGGAAAAAUUGAAAGGACAUGUGCAAAGGUAUAAUCUGUUACAUCUGGGUUAAAGUGUGACUAGAACAUUACUCUCAGGUUGUUCUGGUAGCAGAUGGGAGGGCAUUUAUUUGGUGGUUUAUUCUAUUAAGCCUAGACUUUUUGAUUUGUAGAGACUGGCCAACCACUCUAGGCAUCUUAGUAGAUUAUAUCAGGCAAUAGUCUUCAAAUUUUGUUCCAGAUCUUAAUGAUGAGCUUAAAUCACAUCCCUACCUCUUAUUCCUGCUUCCCCUACCCCCCAGGACCCCCUAUUUAGCUGAGGUCAGAUAACGUGGGAUAAAGGGCUUCCUCGGUGCUCUUGCAGCUCAGUGUGACCAGGUGACGAAGUUCUAGGGAGCAACGUAGGUGUGUCUUGUGGCAGCUCUGGGUAACGUCUUUUACACGAGGGGCAGGUGCUCUUGGCAUCUCUGCUGCUUGCUUCCAGCUUGCCCCUUGAACUCUGAUCUGACCUCCAGAAUGGCUCCUGGAAGCCCUGGUGGGCCCAGCCUAGGGCACCAAAGAACCCCAACGAGGGUGUGGGUCACCAGCACGCAAACGUUUCUAGGUGUAAGGUCUUGAUCCAGUCCUCCAAAGAAGCGCACUGAGGCGUUUCCUCAUCUUGGCUAUUGUGAAUGAUGCUGCAAUGAACAUGGGGUGCAGUUACCUCUUUGAGAUCCUGAUUUC
rnacentral:lncRNA from 1 species